rnacentral:rRNA from 1 species
AAACGACUCUCGGCAACGGAUAUCUCGGCUCUCGCAUCGAUGAAGAACGUAGCGAAAUGCGAUACUUGGUGUGAAUUGCAGAAGCCCGUGAACCAUCGAGUCUUUGAACGCAAGUUGCGCCCGAAGCCGUCAGGCCGAGGGCACGUCUGCCUGGGCGUCACGC